GAUGAACGCUAGCGGGAGGCCUAACACAUGCAAGCCGAGCGGUAUUGUUUCUUCGGAAAUGAGAGAGCGGCGUACGGGUGCGUAACACGUGUGCAACCUGCCUUUAUCUGGGGGAUAGCCUUUCGAAAGGAAGAUUAAUACUCCAUAAUAUAUUGAACGGCAUCGUUUAAUAUUGAAAGCUCCGGCGGAUAGAGAUGGGCACGCGCAAGAUUAGCUAGUUGGUGAGGUAACGGCUCACCAAGGCGAUGAUCUUUAGGGGGCCUGAGAGGGUGAUCCCCCACACUGGUACUGAGACACGGACCAGACUCCUACGGGAGGCAGCAGUGAGGAAUAUUGGUCAAUGGGUGCAAGCCUGAACCAGCCAUCCCGCGUGAAGGACGACUGCCCUAUGGGUUGCAAACUUCUUUUGUAUAGGGAUAAACCUACCCUCGAGAGGGUAGCUGAAGGUACUAUACGAAUAAGCACCGGCUAACUCCGUG
rnacentral:rRNA from 1 species